AUAAAAUGUAAUGACGAUCGGAUCGAACCCGCUCGCCUUUCAAUGGUUUUCAGAGCCCCGGCGUCUUUCCUCUUUCUGUGGGCGUCCGACAGUCGUGUCCUGAAACAAACACCGCCUUAACACCAAUUUUUUUAUCUCUCUCUCUCUCUCUCUCUCUCUCUCUCUCCGUUUUCCUUCUUCACGCCCUUCGGGUCCGUUCCCCUGGCUUAGGAAGAAAGCAAGGAAGCACCUGAAAUCUCUCUCUCUCUCUCUCUCUCUCGCGAUGGCUGCGAGUAAGAUGCGAAUUGUGUUCGGAUUGCUUACAUUCGUCACCAUCGGCAUGAUUAUAGGAGCUCUAUUUCAAUUGGCAUUUCUCAGAAGGUUGGAAGAUUCUUAUGGCACUGAAUUUCCUUUAUCUAGAAGACUGUAUCAAAGUCGGAAUUUUGGCAAUCGGCAGUUGUCCACAGGUGUUCUUCCUUGGGCUAAUGACAAGGAAGCUGAAACUUUACGUUUUCGAUAUAUCAAACCUGAAAUAAUUAGCUGGUCACCUCGAAUUAUUUUACUUCAUAACUUUUUGAGUAUCGAGGAAUGUGAUUAUCUUGUAGCAAUUGCGAAGCCUCGUCUUCAGAUUUCCACUGUAGUGGAUACAAAAACUGGGAAGGGAAUCAAAAGUGAUGUUAGGACGAGCUCUGGUAUGUUUUUGAGCCCUGAAGAAAGGAUGUACCCAAUGGUACAGGCAAUUGAAAAACGAAUUUCUGUCUAUUCACAAGUACCAGUAGAAAAUGGGGAGCUUAUCCAAGUUUUAAGGUAUGAAAAAAAUCAGUUUUACAGACCUCACCAUGACUACUUUUCAGAUACUUUCAAUUUGAAACGUGGUGGGCAACGAGUAGCUACAGUGCUCAUGUACUUGAGUGACAACGUUGAGGGAGGAGAAACAUACUUUCCCAUGGCUGGUUCAGGUGAAUGCAGUUGUGGUGGGAAAAUAAUGAAAGGGUUGUGUGUAAAACCUCUUAAAGGAGAUGCAGUGCUUUUCUGGAGCAUGGGCCUAGACGGGCAGUCGGACCCAAAAAGUAUUCAUGGAGGCUGUGAAGUACUGUCAGGAGAGAAAUGGUCGGCUACAAAAUGGAUGAGGCAGAGCGCUACUUCCUGAUUUUGCAGCACCACCAUAGAAUGAUUGGUGGAUGUGAAAUUAAUAUCAGGUCAAUAAUUUACCUUCCCAACUCAUCCAUCCUAUUUCCAGCUGAUUCUUGUUUUCCUCUUAAUGAUACAAAUUGAGGGUCGUGUAAAUCUCAUUUUGACGAGUGCUUUACAACCUGGGGGAGCGCAUGAACGAGGGUAUUGAUUGACUAGGGAGGAGUGUCACUAAUUGGUUAUAUAUAUCUCGAUGAUUAGAACGAGUUAAAAGAGUUGAGAUGAUUGCAGGUUGACACGCAUGGGCACUCAUGCUAGUUGGGUUGUGUGCCCAAUGGGGUAUGUCAUGAUCAUGCACUUCGAAGAAAUUUGAUUGCUUCAUCUAUAUAUAUAUAUAUUAGGAAUAA